rnacentral:lncRNA from 1 species
UGUGUGUGUGUCGUAAUAUUGUGAGUUAUUUGUCUCUGCUCACUUCAAUGUUAUGCGUGUUUCGAAAUACCUAAAUAUCAUGUUACGUUUUCAAAUUAUAUACUUGAUUUUUGGAACUAUAUAUUUUUUUUUUUUUUCAGAUUCACUUUUCAGCAGAUGUUUAUUGAGAUGUCUCGUAUCUUUAUUUACCUUAAUUCCCUAAACACUGCCAAGAUCAGACGCGUCACGUAAGAAAGUUUGUGGUAUACUCUGUCUAAACUAGUUAGACUAGUUGAUUAGCAAUGCUUGCAGAAAGAUCCAUAUAUUUACUACGUAGUUAGUGUCCUCACAGCUAACAAGAGGGGGGUGGGGGGCAGGAGGAGGAGUACGUGAAGUCUAGAGCGGUGAGAAGCCAGGUGUUACUUCUCCAGCAGGCCGUGGACAGGUAAGACGUGCUUUGUCUGUGUUCUCGCUCGAGUUGUGUGGUUUUGAUUGACAUCACAGUGGUGUAGGAACGAUAAAUAAAACUCUGAACAUGAUAGUUUGUUGAACACAGGAGGAGGAUGUUCUAUGCCGUGGGUUAGGGGGUUUGUUGAACACAGGAGGAGGAUGUUCUAUGCCGUGGGUUAGGGGGUAGGUAAGUAUUGCCAGAGUCAUGUCUUCUGUUGGGGCUUUAUCGGUAUUGAUCAUGGUAACUUGGUCUUGCCCGUAUAUGCAUAUUGUCUCCUAAAGUUAAAGAAAAAAAGAAUUUGAUUCAAUGUCUUGAACGAAAGGGUCUCGAAUCACCCAUGCUGACUGUGCCUGAAGUUCACAACACCCUCCUACAUAUAGGUGUCGCGUAUCCACGACAGGGCUUGCGUGUGCAUUGAGAGAGGCCUUUGUAGUACGGAUAUAUUUUGGUGUAUCUCAGGCUCUCGCUUCUGGAGCAGUAGAGGUGUGUAAUUGUCAGUGGUGAUGUGUGGUUAUUGUAGGGUGGCUAACUAUAGGUACCAAUGGUUAACUGAGUACCAAGGUAAGUUACUCAUGUGUCUGGGUCUGCUUUUUAUUCCUUUCAUUACGUGUAGAAAAUGUGCGGCAUGUGAUGGAUGUUCAUCAAUAGUUAUGACUUUUAGUAUAGUUUCCUGGCACUUUUCCCCUGUAACAUGUACAGGGAUAGCCAACCCUUGCCACUACCUCGUUAAUAUCACCUGAUUUCAAGUCACCGGGGGCAGGUACAGGGGUGAGUGGUGGUAUGGCAAGGGUUGUGGCAGGAUGCUGGUCACUUGUGGAUGGCAGCCAAACGAAGAUUGUUUGGGGCGACGCAACUAUCGCCUGUCGAGGUCACGACCAACGUUCAGCGUUCAACUUCCACAUAAGCCGGAGGUGCGGCGACAGUCGACCAGCCAGUGUCGGCCAACGUUCAACUUUCGACUUGCACGUAAGCCAGUGGUGUGACGGUCGAUCAGCCAGUGCCAGCGAGAACGAAAGGGAGGGAUCGGACGAACUUUUGGCCUGCGUGAGGAUUCAGGGCGGCGGGGGUGACGUGCCGUGCCGCUGCUGUGAGGAGAGGUGUAGUGAGGUUGCUGGUCUGUAUACAUCGAGAAGUGUUUUCUAUCUAGGCCUUGACGCGGGUGUUGUAAGUACCUAGCCAGGAUUCACGCAUCUACAAUAUAAGCUUAGGAAGGAGUGUUAGGCAUAAGCGUGUUGUGGUGCCACCAUCAUUUAACGCUAGCUAACAAUAGAUUUGCUGUUUUAUGUUGGCCCCAUUAUCAAUUAGUGACAGUACAUAAGCAAUGGGAGGCAUGGAAGUUUCUUGGGAAAGGAGGCUGAUUUUCAUAUUACGUUAGAGGCGUAGGUCAAAAAGACCUGAUAGGUCUUUGUGGUGGUAAUGCAACAAGUGCGACGUAAGCAAGAUCGUCAGAAUCCGUAAUAAAGAUGGAACGAGGGCACAGAACGAGAUAUGAUGGGUGGAAGUUUGAAUGAGAAAACCGGUUUGGAUCGAGGAAACUAUUAGCCCUCCAAUGGUGGUAGGUAAAGGGAGUGGACAGUACUUAAUCAAGUGUUCAUGUAAAGCUUUUGAAACGUUCAGUUCACUAUUCAUGACUAUGGCUGCUAACAAGUCUCGUGUAGGUGUGUAGCCAUGACAUUGAGAGCAAGGUGGUUUUUACAUGGAGAUCAAAAUUACUUUCCUCUGUUUCAGUUGCUUCUGUCACAAUGUCCUGCUAACGGUCGCCAUCCUGUUGCAGGAAAAGGACUAUUGUACUGGGAGACUAUAGGUGACCAGUACAUCGGCCUAGUUUCAUCCCCUCUUCAGUGAGGGGCUAUGCCUUGCCAGGAGUUCUAUACUGCCAUCAGGGGGGGAAGGACAGACUUCCUUUCAUCAUCGCUGUCCUGCCAUCCAUUGAGAGGAGACAGACUAAUGCCUUGUUUUACUGCUAACAGCACCUGCUGCUGCGCCAUCGUUUGAGGGAGGACGGACCUCUGCCACGUGUACCUGCUGCUGCUGCUGCUGCCGCCGUCAUCAUUCAGUAUCUGCUGCUGCUGCGUUAUCAUUCAGGGAGGACAAGAUUUCUGCCUCGCAUCUGUUACUAAUACAACUAGAUUUUUAUUUUUGUCAUUCCCUCCUUAAUUGCCCUAUGAAUAUACCUGGAUUUUGUUCCAGUACUGAAUAAUAAAUUAUGACAUUUGU